AGUCGGGAAUUUUGCCCAAUGAGCGAAAGCUUGAGGCAGCAACUCCGCGUGAGGGACGAAGGCUCUCGGGUCGUAAACCUCUUUUCUCAGGGAAGAUCCAAGACGGUACCUGAGGAAGAAGCCACGGCUAACUACGUGCCAGCAGCCGCGGUAAUACGUAGGUGGCAAGCGUUGUCCGGAUUUACUGGGCGUAAAGAGCGCGCAGGCGGCUGAUUAAGUCUGAUGUGAAAUCUCUCGGCUCAACCGGGAAACUGCAUCGGAAACUGAUCGGCUUGAAGGUGGGAGAGGGUAGUGGAAUUCCCGGUGUAGUGGUGAAAUGCGUAGAUAUCGGGAGGAACACCAGUGGCGAAGGCGACUACCUGGCCCAUUCUUGACGCUGAGGCGCGAAAGCUAGGGGAGCGAA
rnacentral:rRNA from 1 species